rnacentral:rRNA from 1 species
UACGUAGGCCUAGCGUUGUCCGGAUUAUUGGCGUAAAGAGCUCGUAGGCGGUUGGUGAGUCGGGUGUGAAAUCUCCACGCUCAACGUGGAGAGCCACCCGAUACUGCCAUGACUGGAGUCCGGAGGGAGUGUGGAAUUCCGGUGUAGCGGUGAAAUGCGCAGAUAUCGGGAGGAACACCGGUGGCGAAGGCGGGUCUCUGGGCCGAUGACUGACGCUGAGGAGCGAAAGCGUGGGGAGCGAACAGG